AUUGAACGCUAGCGGGAUGCCUUACACAUGCAAGUCGAACGGCAGCGCGGACUUCGGUCUGGCGGCGAGUGGCGAACGGGUGAGUAAUGUAUCGGAACGUGCCCAGUAGCGGGGGAUAACUACUCGAAAGAGUAGCUAAUACCGCAUACGCCCUACGGGGGAAAGGGGGGGAUCGCAAGACCUCUCACUAUUGGAGCGGCCGAUAUCGGAUUAGCUAGUUGGUGAGGUAAAGGCUCACCAAGGCGACGAUCCGUAGCUGGUUUGAGAGGACGAGCAGGCACACUGGGACUGAGACAAGGCCCAGACUCCUACGGGAGGCAGCAGUGGGGAAUUUUGGACAAUGGGGGCAACCCUGAUCCAGCAAUGCCGCGUGAGUGAAGAAGGCCUUCGGGUUGUAAAGCUCUUUUGUCAGGGAAGAAACAGCAGCUCUAACACAGUCUGCGAAUGACGGUACCUGAAGAAUAAGCACCGGCUAACUACGUGCCAGCAGCCGCAGUAA
rnacentral:rRNA from 1 species